AAUCAACGCUGGCGGCGUGCCUAACACAUGCAAGUCGAACGCGAAAGUCCCGCAAGGGAUAAGUAGAGUGGCAAACGGGUGAGUAACACGUGGGUGACCUGCCUUCGGGUGGGGGAUAACGUCCCGAAAGGGACGCUAAUACCGCAUGACAUCCUGCUUUUGAACAGGUGGAGAUCAAAGCUGGGGAUCGCAAGACCUAGCGCUUGAAGAGGGGCCCGCGCCUGANAGCUAGUUGGUGGGGUAACGGCUCACCAAGGCGACGAUCAGUAUCCGGCCUGAGAGGGCGGACGGACACACUGGGACUGAGACACGGCCCAGACUCCUACGGGAGCAGCAGUAGGGGAAUUGUCGCAAUGGGCNCAAGCCUGACGACGCAACGCCGCGUGGAGGAU
rnacentral:rRNA from 1 species